UACGUAGGUGGCAAGCGUUGUCCGGAUUUACUGGGCGUAAAGCGCGCGCAGGUGGCGCGUCAAGUCUGGUGUGAAAGCCUCCGGCUCAACCGGAGGAGGCCACUGGAGACUGGCGUGCUCGAGGUGGGUAGGGGUCGGUGGAAUUCCCGGUGUAGUGGUGAAAUGCGUAGAUAUCGGGAGGAACACCAGUGGCGAAAGCGGCCGACUGGGCCCAACCUGACGCUGAGGCGCGAAAGCGUGGGGAGCGAACAGG
rnacentral:rRNA from 1 species